rnacentral:rRNA from 1 species
GAUCCUGGCUCAGGAUGAACGCUGGCGGCGUGCUUAACACAUGCAAGUCGAACGAAGCACUUAAGUUUGAUUCUUCGGAUGAAGACUUUGUGACUGAGUGGCGGACGGGUGAGUAACGCGUGGGUAACCUGCCUCAUACAGGGGGAUAACAGUUAGAAAUAGGCUGCUAAUACCGCAUAAGACCACAGCACCGCAUGGUGCAGGGGUAAAAACUCCGGUGGUAUGAGAUGGACCCGCGU